rnacentral:rRNA from 1 species
UUGUGGUUAAAAAGCUCGUAGUUGGAUCUCGGCGGACUGAGGGCGGUUUGCUUGCUAGUAUUACUGCCCUAUAGUCCGUAGUUUUGCCAGAGGUUUCGGGGUGCUCUUAAUCGAGUGUCCCGGGAUGCUGGCAGGUUUACUUUGAAAAAAUUAGAGUGCUCAAAGCAGGCUAUUACGCCUGAAUAUUCGUGCAUGGAAUAAUAGAAUAGGAAGUCGUUUCUAUUUUGUUGGUUUUCGGAAAUCGACUUAAUGAUUAAUAGGGACAGUCGGGGGCAUUUGUAUUCAAACGACAGAGGUGAAAUUCUUGGACCGUUUGAAGACAAACUACUGCGAAAGCAUUUGCCAAGAAUGUUUUCAUUAAUCAAGAACGAAAGUUAAAGGUUCGAAGGCGAUUAGAUACCGCCCUAGUUUUAACCAUAAACGAUGCCAGCUAGCGAUCUGCGGACGUUUUUUUUGUAGACUCCGCAGGAAGCUUCCGGGAAACCAAAGCAUUUGGGUUCCAGGGGAAGUAUGGUUGCAAAGCUGAAACUUAAAGGAAUUGACGGAAGGGCACCACCAAGGAGUGGAGCCUGUGGCUUAAUUUGACUU